UACGGAGGAGGCAAGCGUUAUCCGGAAUCAUUGGGCGUAAAGGGCGCGUAGGUGGCCCGGUCAGUUCGUGGUGAAAGCGCGGGGCUCAACCCUGCGUCGGCCAUGAAUACUGCCGCGGCUGGAGCACUGUAGAGGCAGGCGGAAUUCCGGGUGUAGCGGUGGAAUGCGUAGAGAUCCGGAAGAACACCGGUGGCGAAGGCGGCCUGCUGGGCAGUUGCUGACACUGAGGCGCGACAGCGUGGGGAGCAAACGGG
rnacentral:rRNA from 1 species